AAAAAGGCAAACCAUGGAUUCCCGUGCCAACGUUUGACUGUCUGUCUUAUAUGAAAUUUUUUUAUAAUUAGUAUUUUUAUUGUUGUUAGAUGAUAAAACAUGAUUAAUACUUUAUGCGUGACUUAUCUUUUUAAUUUUUUUUAUAAUUUUUUCAAAUAAGAUGAACGAUCAAAUAUUGGACACGAAAAUAAGGGUUUGUCUUUUU
rfam:Oryza sativa (indica cultivar-group) chromosome 3, whole genome shotgun sequence.